GCUGCCAAUUCCCCAAGCAAAGGGAAGCGAGGGGAGAGCGCGGAGCCCCCGAUUAGCGUUCGGAGGAACUGGCCUAGAGGGGCCACUCGGAGCGCAAAGGCCCCGCGAAAUAGAAUAUCUAUACGCCCAGCAACCCUCCCUUUCGAGGCGCACGGAAUAAGUUGGCUGGAACUCUCCGCUGACCGCUCCGCCUGGGACUCAGGGUUGCAGCCGCACAGAGCUUCCUCCGGGGCGCCCAGGGCGGCGCGAGCAGGAGGGGGACCCAGUGUGGCCGCGCCCGGGAACUCGGGGGACCAGGUGAGGCUGCGCCCGGGUCCCAGUGGGAUCCAGAUGAGCGUACGCCCAAGCCCGCGGGGGACCAGGUGAGCCCGCGCCCGGGUCUGAGUGGGAUCCAGGUGAGCCAGCGUCCAGCGUCUCCAGGGUCUGGGGCAGGGUCGUCGGGCUUAGGACUCAAGCAGUCAGCGGGCAGAAUGGGUUGGCGUGGAGAGCCAGACGCGCUCAGGAUCCAGGCGAUGGGCCUGGGCAUAGCCGUGUCUGCAAGGGCUGUCGUCAGGGGAUCGUCGAGAGGACCUGCUUCUACCUAGUGGAUUCACAGUACUACCCAUAAAAAUAAACCCUGCUAAUGAGACGGUGUGUGGGAAGGGGGUGGGAGCAUGGUCAUUUUAUUAGAGCUGAGCAUUAAUAAUUUCCUUGAGGACCUUGGGCAAACUCUUUGUUUUGAAGCCAGUGGAGGCCUGGGUCAGUGUCCCUGAGUUCUGAGUUAACUGCGUGGACAAAUGAUGAGAAACAGCCAUCACUUUAGGGAUGUUUUAAGAGAAAGUCGGUGUGUGCUGAAACAGUGAGUUAGAGAGACUGGGAACAGAAAGCAAAGACCAGAAAGACAAGAAGCAAACAUAUGGGAAGUCAAAAAAGGAAAUUGCCUGGAAAUAAAGCCAGAUGGGUCUGGCAGGAGUGCUGUCUUGGUUGACAUCUGUGGGACAUGACCCUGGACAGAUCACUGGAGUCAGAGGAGGUCAUUAAUUAAGAAUCCGCUGGUUAUCCUUGGUGUUUUAAGGUUACCACGGUAGAAAUAGAAACGUGUGCAGCACAUAGUCAACAAGUUUUGGCAAAUGACCAAAUAAGAUACAAACAUUUAAUUGGAUUAGGAGAUCAGUUGCAAAGUGUUGUGUUUCUAUGCCAUGAUGAACAUUCAGAGUGGAAUCUCUAGAAAAAUGCUUUGUGUAAAUGAUUAGACUGUAGGGCUAAGGUGUUGCAAAACAGUACAGUAAGUUAUUUACUCUUUUUUUUUUUUGAGACGGAGCCUCACUCUGUUGCCCA
rnacentral:lncRNA from 1 species